AUUUCCCAUGACCCUUUGCAGCGGGGCUAGGGCGCCCUCUGCGCAUCACGUGGCCUGGGAGAGUUGCUGGCAAGGGCAGCCCUGGCCAGAUCCACACUUCCCUCCUGGGUCAUCAGGCCAGAACCAGAGCCGAAUUCCCGCCAGUUCUUAGUUCUGUGAUCAUCUUCCUGCAUGGUACAGGCCACAUCCUGAGACUUCUCAGACACAGUGGGAGUAGCAGCAGACCCACUCUGAGAGCUGAUCGUGCAAGUGGAUCCAUGCAGGUUCAUGUUUUGAUGGGCACUGCUGUUUCCAGUGGAAUGUUACGUUACUGGAUAUCAGCAGAUCCAAGACAGUCUUCACUCUCAUGCCAACACACAUCUCAAUGAACGCGGUGUAGUGUUUGUGUCCAUCAUUUUUCUAGCAGUGCUUGAAAAAUUGUCUAGCAUUGCUGCUCUUUACUCUCAAUAAGAAUUUAAGCAAAUAUAUGGUCAACACAAUUUCCCCAUGCUGUUUUCAGAAAUAACUAGCUAACAUCCAAAGCACCAAAACCUAUCAAUAAGGCAAUUGAAAUGUUGUUAGGAUGACUUUUUGAAAGCAAAGGCAAACAUUGCAUACUAUGGGCCAGAUCCUCAGCUGACGUAAAUCUGCAUAGCUCCAUAGACUAUACUGAUAUUUACCAGCUGAGGAUGUGUUCCUAUUUUUUUUUAAUUGGCUUUCCGGUCAUUUGUAGAUUGAAAGCUUUUUGUCCUGGAAGUUGGGAUUUUUUGCCAAUAAGUAGACAUGCAUCCUGAGGUUCCUGCAAGCCCAAUAUAUUUAAAAGUCUGGUAUUUCUUAACUUAUGAUAGCACUGUUAAACACAUAGUUUGGUGAUCAUCUAAGGACAUGCCUUAGCUAUCAGUUUUACUGUUUUUAUUUUAACUUUGCUAACACAUCCUCUCUCUUUGUAAUAUGCAAAAAAAAAGUUUAUAUUUUUAAUCAAUUGCCUAGCAGCACUUCAUGUAUUUAUUUAUUUACUUCUUAUUUCAUACUUUAUCAGCAGCAGAUGAAACCAUUUAUAUCAGGGCCUGAUCCAAAGCCCAUUGAGUCAAUGGGAGUCUCCCCACUGACUAUAAUGUAUUUUGGAUUGGGCCUGCCAGUUACAAGUGGCUCUUCCAAUUUUUAGGAAUGUAGGGGGCGGAGAGGGAGAAAAAGUCUGAAAAGCAUUACCGUCUUCAUCCUGUACUGGCCGGGCAUCUGUAAAUAAAUAAGAAAUAAUCAGUAGCAGGUCUCAGAAGGGUUUGCAGUGUACAAAGAGGUGCUGUGUAGCCCAGAAGCUGACCAGCUCUGCAAUGCAUUGAUAGGAGCCUACUGACAGCUGAACUUCUGUGUUUGAAACAGCUGAAUAAAGAAUUCCCUGUUUCCAGUCACUCCGUGGUACAAUUUGAAUACUGUUUGCUAAUAAUGAAGGCAAUUGUGACUGGUGUAUGAAUGACAUUUGAUAUCAAAUGCAAGUCAACAGAUCUAGAUUAAAAUAUUUAAGGCAGAUGAAAAAAAUAAAGGAUAAAUAUAAAAGUUAACUUACCUGUUAAUGGAUUCAUCAGCAUGCAGAGGGAAAUUAAGCCAAUAAAGAUAAACCUCAUGGUCUCUGCAAAUUAUUAUUCCUGUUUCUGAAAUAUAAUCUAUAAAAUGAAAUAGAGCAGAAUAUAUCAAAAUACCUUUUUUUUCUUCUAUACAAAAAAGGUUGGAAUCAUCUAUUUUUCACUAAAGUAACAAUAAGAUUUUUAUAACAUUUCCAGGUGUCUCUAACCCUCCAACUGCUAGAAGCACCUGGCACUGGCCACUGCCAGAGACAGGAUAUUGGGUCUGAGGGACCAUUGUUUUGACCAAGCAUGGCUGUUCUUAUAAAAAUUGUUAAUUGCAAAAAACUUUCAGUAUAUUAAAAGAACUGAAGUACUAAGGUUUGAUGUUCUUCUGGAUUAAAAAAAUUAAUAAAAGUUCACCCGCAUUGACGUGAAAUUAAAUGUCUUGGAAAUAUUUUGUUUUGUAGCUACUUUAGUUUCAUUUUAGAAAUUACCCUUUUCCCCACCUUUCUCUUAAGUGAGUAGAGGUCUGUAGCUCUGAGUCAGCUGCAAACAUCUGAAUGGGCUUCUCUUGCUGUAAAAUAAACAACCGUUUAGAGAAGGGUGGGGAAUAAGGAAAGGAACGUCACUUACUUAAUACACCAAUCUGAUUUUUUCAGCCUAAUCUAAAAGUGUGUAGCUGCACACAUCUAUAAUAUAUUGCAGCGCCAUCCAUGGUCAGAAAUGUCUAGAUAAACUGGGAAUAAAAUUCCUAUAGUAUAAAACUAGAGAAAAAAAAUCCAGCAGCUAAUUCAAUAAUUGCUGCUUACAAUAUCUCUCUAAUUUUUCUCUAUAAGAAAAGGUCUUCUCCAAAAUAGGUUAUUUUGGUUGGCAUUUGUUGUAAAUUUUGAGGUAACAGUAUGUGUGUGUGGGAA